rnacentral:rRNA from 1 species
GACAGAUGGCGCAGGCGUUAUUCGGUAUAACUGGGUGUAAAAGGUACGUAGGUGGAUAUAAAACCUCUGAUAAAAGAGCAGGGCAUUCCCAUGCGUUGUUGGAGACUUUACAUAUCUCGUGUUGUUUAUAGGUUGGGGGAAUUCUGCGACGAGGAGUGGAAUCUUACGAGCCGUAGACGAUCGCCAAGGCGAAGGCACCUUUCUAGAGACGACAGACGCUGAGGUACGGAAGCUUAGGUCGCGAACAGG